rnacentral:lncRNA from 1 species
GUGUCACAAAGUGAAUAAUGCGUUUUCUUAGCAGCUAGUUCUAGAAUCCCUGUCCAACAAGGAAAUUGCCUCUGUCCAAGAAAAUAUCUUGAUAAGCUGCUCAGGGCGGAAGGUGAGAGACCCUGAAGGCAUGGGUGUCCAAUGAAAUGAAUUGUCUAUUUUUUCCUCACAAUGCAGGAAAGAGACAAAGGAGAUAGAAGAAGGUGGGGUAAGGGGAAGGAUAAGAACUGGAAAGCUGAACCAUAGCCCAGACCCCAGCAGGAGAAAGAGCAAGAAAUGCCUAUGAGAAAGCUGGAAAGAAACCCCUGGAAUUUGGAAUAAAAUGUCUAAAAGGGAAUGGCAAGGAACCUGAGGAACCAGUGUGAGGAAAACCUGGAUGAUCUGACGUCUUCCUCACUUUAUCCCUACCUGUCCACGCCUCCAUCCAUCCACCCAUCCAUCACUGAUCAAGCUCUCACUAUGUCUAUAGUGUAGAAGGUGCCACCAAAUGCAAUGGAACCUCUUGUCUCAUGUGUCUACUUGCAUCUUUAAGUUGAUACAGGCAAGGCAUAAUCCAAGCACAGGAUGCUGGAAGCUAUGGAGGUACAGUGGCCUCUGAGCCAACUGAAAACUCUCUAUCACUAAAGGGUUGGAAUACAGGGUAUCUCCUCUGCUCUGCCACCUACCUUGAGGAUGCUUUACAUGUGGCUAAAAGUGGAGGCAGAGAUAUUUGGAUAAAUAAAUGCUAGAGAAUUGAAAAUUCCUAGGACAAGUCAA